AUUGAACGCUGGCGGCAGGCCUAACACAUGCAAGUCGAGCGGAGCGGCGGACGGGUGGGUAAUGCCUAGGAAUCUGCCUGGUAGUGGGGGAUAACGUCCGGACACGGGCGCUAAUACCGCAUACUAUCAGAUGAGCCUAUGUCGGAUUAGCUAGUGGGUGGGGUAAAGGCCUACCAAGGCGACGAUCCGUAACUGGUCUGAGAGGAUGAUCAGUCACACUGGAACUGAGACACGGCCCAGACUCCUACGGGAGGCAGCAGUGGGGAAUUGUGGACAAUGGGGGAAAGCCUGAUCCAGACAUGCCGCGGGUGUGAAGAAGGGCUUCGGAUUGUAAAGCACUUUAAGUUGGGAGGCGUUACCAACAGAAUAAGCACCGGCUAACUUCGUGCCAGCCGCCGCGGUAAUAC
rnacentral:rRNA from 1 species